rnacentral:rRNA from 1 species
UACGUAGGGGCCAAGCGUUAUCCGGAUUUACUGGGCGUAAAGAGCAUGUAGGUGGUCUGUUAAGUUGGACGUGAAAGCUCCUGGCUCAACUGGGAGAGGUCGUUCAAAACUAACAGACUAGAGGAUGGUAGAGGAGAGCGGAAUUCCAGGUGUAGCGGUGAAAUGCGUAGAUAUCUGGAGGAACACCAGUGGCGAAAGCGGCUCUCUGGCCCAUUCCUGACACUGAGAUGCGAAAGCCAGGGGAGAGAACGGG